rnacentral:rRNA from 1 species
ACAAUGGAGAGUUUGAUCCUGGCUCAGGAUGAACGCUAGCGGCAGGCUUAAUACAUGCAAGUCGAGGGGGAUUAGUUGUGUAGCAAUACAUGGCUAUGAGACCGGCAAACGGGUGCGGAACACGUACACAACCUUCCUUCGAGUGGGGAAUAGCCCAGGGAAACUUGGAUUAAUACCCCAUAAUAUAUAGAGAUGGCAUCAUUUUUAUAUUAAAGCCUCACGGCGCUUGAAGAUGGGUGUGCGGCUGAUUAGCUAGUUGGUAGGGUAACGGCCUACCAAGGCUACGAUCAGUAACUGGUGUGAGAGCACGACCAGUCACACGGGCACUGAGACACGGGCCCGACUCCUACGGGAGGCAGCAGUAAGGAAUAUUGGUCAAUGGACGAAAGUCUGAACCAGCCAUGCCGCGUGGAGGAUGAAGGUC